GAAGGACGAGGAAAAUACGAUUUCCUAUAGCUCGUAUGCAAUGUUGGCAGGACAUGUAUGGCGUUGUACGUGUAAUGCACGAGGACUUCCCAAGGAUCAAGAAACGAAGCUUUACAUUGCAACCGAUGGGCGAUCUAGGCUCCAACCUCCACUCCCUGAGGGNCGAGGACUUCCCAAGGAUCAAGAAACGAAGCUUUACAUUGCAACCGAUGGGCGAUCUAGGCUCCAACCUCCACUCCCUGAGGGCUAUUUUGGAAAUGUGAUAUUCACAGCAACUCCUAUUGCAGUAGCUGGUGAUCUCCAAUCAAAGCCCGUAUGGUACGCUGCGAGUAAAAUUCAAGAUGCUUUAGCUCGAAUGGACAACGAUUACUUGAGAU
rnacentral:lncRNA from 1 species